rnacentral:rRNA from 1 species
AUUACGUCCCUGCCCUUUGUACACACCGCCCGUCGCUACUACCGAUUGAAUGGCUUAAGUGAGGCCCUCGGAUCGAUGCUCGGAGACUGGCAACAGUUUCAGUUCGUUGAGAAGUUGGUCAAACUUGGUCAUUUAGAGGAAGUAAAAGUCGUACCAAGGUUUCCGUAGGUGAACCUGCGGAAGGAUCAUU